rnacentral:ncRNA from 2 species
AUGAUGGCCAGGAGAGAGUCCCCUGAUUUGGGGCGCCGAAGGUGUAACCUGCAGCUUGGAAUGGCGGCGGGGAAACUCUCAGGCAAAAGGAUCCUGGCCGGACG